rnacentral:sRNA from 1 species
CUCUUUCUCUAACAGUGCCAUUCAAAGCCCUCUGACACCAUUAGAGUCACUCAAAAAAUCUUUUCAACUGUUUCGAAGCAAAGAAAUGAUGCUGUUAUCAUUAGCAUUUGCUUAUUCAGGUAUUGCAAUGACAUUCUUCAGUGGUGUUUAUGGAGCCAGCAUUUCUCAUAAUUUACACUUUGGAGAUAGUGCUAUUGGAUUGUUGGGUAUCUCAGGGAUAUUCAUUGGAGUCGGAGAGAUUUUUGGUAAGUAUCAUACAUUUUUUAAAUGUUGCAAAAUAGAGUU